ACGGAGCAACGCCGCGUGAGUGAUGAAGGCUUUCGGGUCGUAAAACUCUGUUGUUAGGGAAGAACAAGUACGAGAGUAACUGCUCGUACCUUGACGGUACCUAACCAGAAAGCCACGGCUAACUACGUGCCAGCAGCCGCGGUAAUACGUAGGUGGCAAGCGUUAUCCGGAAUUAUUGGGCGUAAAGCGCGCGCAGGCGGUUUCUUAAGUCUGAUGUGAAAGCCCACGGCUCAACCGUGGAGGGUCAUUGGAAACUGGGGAACUUGAGUACAGAAGAGAAAAGCGGAAUUCCACGUGUAGCGGUGAAAUGCGUAGAGAUGUGGAGGAACACCAGUGGCGAAGGCGGCUUUUUGGUCUGUAACUGACGCUGAGGCGCGAAAGCGUGGGGAGCAAACAGGAUUAGAUACCCUGGUAGUCCACGCCGUAAACGAUGAGUGCUAAGUGUUAGAGGGUUUCCGCCCUUUAGUGCUGCAGCUAACGCAUUAAGCACUCCGCCUGGGGAGUACGGUCGCAAGACUG
rnacentral:rRNA from 1 species